UUGAACGCUGGCGGCAGGCCUAACACAUGCAAGUCGAGCGGAUGAAGGGAGCUUGCUCCUGGAUUCAGCGGCGGACGGGUGAGUAAUGCCUAGGAAUCUGCCUGGUAGUGGGGGAUAACGUCCGGAAACGGGCGCUAAUACCGCAUACGCCCUGAGGGAGAAAGUGGGGGAUCUUCGGACCUCACGCUAUCAGAUGAGCCUAGGUCGGAUUAGCUAGUUGGUGGGGUAAAGGCCUACCAAGGCGACGAUCCGUAACUGGUCUGAGAGGAUGAUCAGUCACACUGGAACUGAGACACGGUCCAGACUCCUACGGGAGGCAGCAGUGGGGAAUAUUGGACAAUGGGCGAAAGCCUGAUCCAGCCAUGCCGCGUGUGUGAAGAAGGUCUUCGGAUUGUAAAGCACUUUAAGUUGGGAGGAAGGGCAGUAAGUUAAUACCUUGCUGUUUUGACGUUACCAACAGAAUAAGCACCGGCUAACUUCGUG
rnacentral:rRNA from 1 species